rnacentral:rRNA from 1 species
CCAGACUCCUACGGGAGGCAGCAGUGGGGGAUAUUGCACAAUGGGGGGAACCCUGAUGCAGCGACGCCGCGUGGGUGAAGGAGUGCUUCGGCAUGUAAAGCCCUAUCGGCAGGGAAGAAGCAAGACGGUACCUGACUAAGAAGCCCCGGCUAACUACGUGCCAGCAGCCGCGGUAAUACGUAGGGGGCAAGCGUUAUCCGGAUUUACUGGGUGUAAAGGGAGCGUAGGUGGCAUGGUAAGCCAGAAGUGAAAACCCAGGGCUCAACUCUGCGGAUUGCUUUUGGAACUAUCAAGCUAGAGUGCUGGAGGGGUAAGCGGAAUUCCUAGUGUAGCGGUGAAAUGCGUAGAUAUUAGGAGGAACACCGGUGGCGAAGGCGGCUUACUGGACAGAAACUGACACUGAGGCUCGAAAGCGUGGGGAGCAAACAGGAUUAGAUACCCCAGUAUCC